UGCGCUUGCCAGUAACCUGCCGUCCUCCC
rnacentral:piRNA from 1 species